rnacentral:misc_RNA from 1 species
UUUGAAACUAAUCCUAAAACCCACGAAACUAAUUCUUAGCAAGCAAAAGCAGUGUCCUGCGCUGCCCAAGGGGCAACACCAAAGCGAAAUCUUUUUGUUACCUCGUAAUAACCAAACUCCCUUAUCAAAUUCCUAUAUAAUUUGAUUUAAGCAAACAAAGAUUACUGCACCAUCUUAAACUGCAAUGGCUCAAGCAGUCCAUCUCAUCGCUAAGAACCUUCCAGGUAUUUAUUUUUCUAUUCUGUGUUCUCUGUUUGCUUCCUAGGAAACAAAGGGAAAAAGAGGAACGAAAACUUGCGCUCUUUCGAGGUUUUUAAUUCCCAGUAGUUACUUUCCUAUCAAACGAAUUUGCAGCGGCUCAGAUAUAUUAAUUGUAUUAGCUUCAAGGAGUCCAAGAUUCCACCUGUUUGGCGUGUUGCAUUUCCUGGAACUUUCUUGUGAUUUUUUAUUUUUACAUUCCGCUGGUACGAAGAGAUUGUUGCCCACCAUCUAUUCGAUGAAAUGAUUUUAGUUAUCGCAUGGUGAGAGAGGCUUCUCUUCUGUUUUCUAGCUUGUGUUUUAACUUGCAUUCUUUUUCUUCAAAACUGAGGUAUUCACUUUUUGCUCGUUAUCUUGAUGGUACUGGUGUUUCUCUUUCUUUGAUUGGCUUUUUCUAACUUGCUUGUUUCUUGUUGCGUUUGAUCCUUAUAUUGUUUUAGAUAUUGAAUCGACAUAUUCCGUGGAUUCUUUUGAGUUGGAAACUUGAAAAUUUUCUUUCUACAUAUGAUAAUAGAUUUGUUUUAGACUUUGGCCUUUUUGGCAUUUGUAUACUCUUCGAGAAUUUAACGAGUAUAUGAUUUCUGGAGUUGGCUUGAUUUCCUUGAUAUUCCUUCUAUGGCUACUCCUCAAAAUAUUCUUUAAUUUAGCCUAUAUUUGGUAGAUGUGCAUCUUAAAAUUAUGUUAGCACUUGAGUUGGUGGCAAUGGUAAACUUCAUUAGUGAUAGUGGGGACACAGGUAGAUUUGUUCAUGGUUUUGGUGAGAUUUAACUUAUGACAUACAAGUAGUUGGCUAGUGGGGAGGGAUGCUUCAACGUACAACAUUAGUAAUGGCUGCACAUACAAUCUCUUGUUACUUCAUUUGCCAGUGGUUGGAAGGGAAGGAACUCUUAUAUAUCUAGAGUGGUGCCUAUCUUCUUUUUUGGCUUCAUAAAUACUUGUCGGAAUGGUGGAAGUGUAUGAUUGUGGUAGAACGUGUAGUGGUGAUUUUGUGAAAGAUGGUGUUGUUUCUUGUAUUUAAUUCAUUAUUGAAGUGCAGAGAGUAGAUGUAGUAAAGCAUAGAUGGUUCUAUGUGCAAAUUGCAAAGGACAGGCAAAAAGAUUGCUCUAUCCAAUGCAUGGAAACUAAGAAGGUUGCAGGGAUGAUGCUGGAAACAUAGCAUUUUCAGCAAGAUUGUAUUUUAUUUCAAUUUGUGGGCGAUAAAAGUUGUUAGACACUGUCACAACAUUUUUCUUUGGUUGACUCUCACGGUGAGAGUGAAGUUCUUGAAGUCCAGAAUUUCAUUCUCAUCAAACAAAAACAAAAACCAAAUCUAGAAUUUCAGAAUAAUCUUCCUGUUUUUAUUUAUGGGUAUAUGCUUCUUGUAGGUUAUGAACCUUCAGAAGGCAGGUAUCUCCCUCGUUCAGAAAUUUCUGGAAGAGCAGUCGCUGUAUCCACUUGUUCUUCUCAUGGUAAUCAAAGAAUUCAUUCACAGGUUAAGAUUGGAUCAAUAAAAUGUGCUUCUGGAGCCGCAUCUUUUGUGUGCAGAGCAAGUUCUGGUGGUCCUAAGAGAAACCUAGACUUCUCAAAGCAAAGCAGACGGACUUUCUCUCGAAACAGUAACAGACAAAAUGAAGAGAGAGACAGCUUUGAAAAUCUUGAUGAAUCUGAUUUGUUAACUUCGAAGAAUGGGCCAUUACUUUCCCUCCCCAAUACCCCCAAAUUCCAAGCCACUGCAGCCCCAGGGCCAAGAGAGAAAGAGAUUGUUGAGCUAUUCAGGAAGGUACAGGCUCAGCUGCGUGAAAGAGCUGCAGUCAAAGAAGACAAGAAGGUCGAAACCUCCAAAGGAAAAGGUAAAGAGAGUGAAACUGUGAAUUCACUCCUUAAGCUGCUGAGGAAACACUCAAUUGAGCAAGGUAAGAAAAAAGCUGGCGGUCGAGACUUAGCUGUGGACCAACAGGAACAUAGUGGAUCAAACAGGGAGGAUAAAAGCACAAGUUUCCUUGAUCCAAAUAACAAAGAAAGGAGUGGAGUCCUAGAACCUAAUUCGUCAUCUUUUGCCAGACCACCAUCAAAUUUCCGCCGCAAGUCUCCAGUUCCUCAAGUGAAAUUUAAGCCCGAAUAUUCAAAUGAGGAUCCUGUUAAUUCUUCAUCUUAUUUGAAUUUAAAUGGUGAGAAAAAGAAGCAAUUUGAGGUGAUUCCUGACACUGCCCAGCAGCCAGAAUUGGUGCCAGAGGAGGCAGAGUCAGAGUUGGAGCAGGAGCCAGCGUCCUCUUUCCCUGAUUCUGAAGUGUUAGAUGAGUUAUCAGAAGGGGAGUAUUCAGACAUUGAUAAUAUUGACGCAGAUAGAGACGAACAACAGGAGAUUGAACAUGAGGAUUUGAGUUUGUUGAAGCUGCCAGAGUUGAGGACAAUUGCAAAAUCUCGUGGUGUAAAAGCGUUUUCAAAGAUGAAGAAAGGUGAGCUAGUGGAGUUGCUAAGUGGUGGCUCAGUCUGAUUAACUGAUUCCUGAAAAAUGGCCAAGAGAAACAGAACCGAGUUUAGAUAGUUUUUGUUCUUUUUAUUAUUGGAAAUGCUCUUUUUUGUGCUCUUAUAGUUUAGUUCUUUCUUCUUUUCAUAAUUUCAUGACAUUUAUGAACCUUCAAAUUCUGUAGGAUGUUACUACUUUCCUGGUGAAGAUUUUGUUGGAAAAAAAAAAAAAAUCCGAGUCAUUUUUAUUUGUUAAGACUCCACGUUGUUGAACUCUUCAACCAGGACGAGAUGAAGUGAUGAACAGAGACGCUUGACUUGAAAAAGAUUAUCUGAAAUUUGCUGUAGUAACUUCUUUUUUUUAUGAGAUUUAG